UUAUCUGCAAUAAAAUUAUAUUCACUAACAAAAUAAUCAUCUGAAUGGUGGAAAAUAGAUUCCAAGGAAGCACAUUUUUUACACUAGCACAGUAAGGUAAGUGGAACUUUUCUCUAUUCCUUUGUGGUCCUGGAAUAAGGGAGAUAAAUCAAUACGCUGCAACAUUUUUUUUUUCAAAUAGUUGCUAAAGAGCUCUGGCAUGACUGUCUUUAUAACUUAUUCUGAAUUGUUCAUACCAUUCACGAAAUUGAAAUUUUACAAGGGAACUAUUGCAUUUUUUACACAUAACAAAAGGAUUUGAAAUUCAGAUUUAACACCAAUCAUUUCAUGCUGUUACAUUUUAAAAGACUAGAUAAUGCUUCCCAAUCUUUCAAAUUUGAAUGUACGACAUCAUUA